rnacentral:rRNA from 1 species
AGUCGAGCGCAGGAAGCUCACGGAACUCUUCGGAGGGAAGUGAAGGGAAUGAGCGGCGGACGGGUGAGUAACACGUAAGGAACCUGCCCCAAGGAUUGGGAUAACUCCGAGAAAUCGGAGCUAAUACCGAAUAGUUCUUCAGACCGCAUGGUCUGAUGAUGAAAGGCGCUCCGGCGUCACCUUGGGAUGGCCUUGCGGUGCAUUAGCUAGUUGGUGGGGUAAUGGCCCACCAAGGCGACGAUGCAUAGCCGACCUGAGAGGGUGAUCGGCCACACUGGGACUGAGACACGGCCCAGACUCCUACGGGAGGCAGCAGUAGGGAAUCUUCCACAAUGGACGAAAGUCUGAUGGAGCAACGCCGCGUGAGUGAUGAAGGUUUUCGGAUCGUAAAACUCUGUUGUAAGGGAAGAACAAGUACGAGAGGUAAUGCUCGUACCUUGACGGUACCUUGCGAGAAAGCCACGGCUAACUACGUGCCAGCAGCCGCGGUAAUACGUAGGUGGCAAGCGUUGUCCGGAAUUAUUGGGCGUAAAGCGCGCGCAGGCGGCCUUUUAAGUCUGAUGUGAAAGCCCCCGGCUCAACCGGGGAGGGUCAUUGGAAACUGGAAGGCUUGAGUACAGAAGAGAAGAGUGGAAUUCCAUGUGUAGCGGUGAAAUGCGUAGAGAUGUGGAGGAACACCAGUGGCGAAGGCGACUCUUUGGUCUGUAACUGACGCUGAGGCGCGAAAGCGUGGGGAGCAAACAG